UACAGAGGGUGCGAGCGUUGUUCAGAAUUAUUGGGCGUAAAGGGCGCGUAGGCGGUCAGCACAAGUCAGUUGUGAAAUCUCCGGGCUUAACUCGGAAAGGUCAACUGAUACUGUGCGACUAGAGUGCAGAAGGGGCAACUGGAAUUCUCGGUGUAGCGGUGAAAUGCGUAGAUAUCGAGAGGAACACCUGCGGCGAAGGCGGGUUGCUGGGCUGACACUGACGCUGAUGCGCGAAAGCCAGGGGAGCGAACGGG
rnacentral:rRNA from 1 species